rnacentral:lncRNA from 1 species
AAAUUUAAAUCACAAUCCAAUAUAUAUAUAUCAACCAAACUCAUUUAUAAUAAUACUCACAAUUUAACUAUUAAUGAACACCACAUUUUAAAUCAAACCAUAACAUAUAUUUACAUGAUGAUUCCAUAUUUCAUAGGUCGUCUUUACAUGCCAUAAUUUUCCGGAACGAUAGUAGCAAAAUACCCCAAGUGUGAAGGAUAGUGUGGAUGAUUGUCUGACUUCGUUCCAAAUUUCCGAGUUGUCAGAAGUCACUCGGUGCAAAAUAUCGUAAUUUUGCACUUCACUCCACUAUCUUUUCUUUUCCUCGUUUGAGAUAAUCUUCACGUCUUUCUUGAUUAUGAGCUUGAGAAAGCAAAGAAACCUUAGCUAUGGCUUCCUUCAAAUUUCGGCAGCAACUAAUGAGGAAGAUGAUGAUUUUUGUCAUCUUUUUCCCAUUUUAUUUUUUUUUUAUUACCAAAUGACUAAUAUGCCCCCACUUAAAAAAAAUCUAUUUCUCUCAUUUCUUAUGUCUAUUUUUGUCCAUCAACUAACUAAUGGUCUAAUUACCACAUAAAGACCUCCAAUUUAAAAUUUCAUAUCAAUUAGAUACUUCUACAUAUAGAACUCAACUUUUGCACUAUUUACAAUUUAGUCCUUUUGACUAAAUUGAGUGCCCAAACGUCGAAAUUUUCGAACGAAAUUUUUACGAAAAUUUUCCGUGAAAUUGUAGACCAUAAAAAUAUAAUAAUAACCAUAUUUUCCCUCGUCGGAUUUGUGGUCCCGAAACCACUAUUCUGACUAGGCCCAAAAUCGGGCUGUUACAACUCUCCCCCUUUAAGGAUUUUCGUCCCCGAAAAUCUUACCGGAAAAGAGAUUUGGGUACUGUUUCCUCAUAAUUUCCUCCGGUUCCCACGUAGCUUCCUCCAUCCCAUGUUUUUGCCACAGUACUUUUACUAAGGAUACACUUUUAUUCCUUAACUGCUUGACUUCCCGAGCCAAAAUCUUUAUUGGUUCUUCCUCAUAAGUCAUAUCUGGUCUGACCUCAAUCUCUGUAGGGGAAACUAUAUGUGAAGGAUCCGAACGGUAACGUCGCAACAUCGACACAUGAAACACAUUAUGUAUCUUUUCCAACUCCGGUGGUAAAGCUAACCGAUAUGCUACAGGGCCAACUCUCUCGGUAACUUCAUAUGGUCCAAUAAAUCGUGGACUUAGUUUGCCUUUACGACCAAAUCUCAGAAUCUUCUUCCAUGGAGACACCUUCAAGAACACCUUAUCACCUACUUGAAACUCAAUUUCUUUUCUCUUUAAAUCCGCAUACGACUUUUGCCGAUCUGAGGCAGCCUUUAAACAGUCACGAAUUAUUUUCACCUUUUUUUCAGUUUCUUUCACCAAGUCGACUCCAUGAAUCCGGUUCUCACCGAGCUCAGUCCAAUAUAAAGGAGUUCUACACUUACGCCCAUAUAAUGCUUCAUACGGUGCCAUUCGUAUACUUGACUGAUAGCUAUUGUUAUAAGCAAAUUCAACCAAUGGUAGAUAUUUCUCCCAACUGCCUUUCAAUUCUAAAAUACAACACCGGAGCAUAUCUUCAAGAAUUUGAAUCACUCUUUCUGAUUGCCCGUCAGUUUGCGGAUGAAACGCAGUACUGAAAUUCAAUUUUGUACCCAAGGCUUCCUGCAACUUUAUCCAAAACCUCGAAGUAAAUCUCGGAUCUCUAUCCGAUAUAAUAGAUUUAGGCACCCCAUGUAAUUUCACUAUUUCAGCAACAUAUAAUUCUGCCAACCUGUCAAGUGAGUAAUCAAUGCGUAUCGGAAUAAAAUGAGCCGACUUUGUCAAUCUAUCAACAAUUACCCAAAUAGCAUCUUUCUUCUUUGGAGUUAAAGGCAAUCCUGUCACAAAAUCCAUCGUAAUACUAUCCCACUUCCACUCUGGAAUCGUUAUCGGUUGAAGUAAACCCGAUGGUACUUGAUGCUCAGCCUUCACUUGUUGACAGAUUAAACACUUUGAUACAAAUUCCGAGAUAUCCUUUUUCAUGCCUGGCCACCAAUACAACUUCUUCAAAUCAUUAUACAUUUUCACACUACCCGGAUGAACUGACAAGUCACCACUAUGUGCCUCACAUAAAAUGGUCUGAAUUAACUCAUCAUUUCUUGGUACACAUACUCUAUCCCGGAACAUCAAGCAAUCAUCUGAACCAAUUUGAAAAUCUGAGUCAACACCUGCUUCACACUGAGCUCUCUUGGCUUGCAAUUUACUGUCAUUCUUUUGAGAUUCCCGAAUUUGCUGAAGAAAUAAUGGUCUAGCUCUCAAUUCAACCAACAUUGAGCCAUCAUCAGAUAAAGUUAACAUCGUACCCAUAGCUCUCAAAGCAAAUAAAGAUUUUCUACUCAAGGCAUCAGCAACCACAUUAGCUUUCCCGGGGUGAUAAUCAAUCACUAGCUCAUAGUCUUUGAUUAGCUCGAGCCAUCUUCGUUGCCGCAAAUUCAAAUCUUUUUGGCUCAUCAAAUACUUCAAACUCUUAUGAUCAGUGAAGAUUCGGCACUUUUCACCAUACAAAUAAUGACGCCAAAUUUUUAAAGCAAAAACAAUGGCAGCCAAUUCUAAAUCAUGCGUCGGAUAAUUCUUCUCAUGCGGUUUCAAUUGUCUCGAAGCAUAAGCUAUUACUUUGCCCUCUUGCAUUAACACACACCCAAGACCAUUCAACGAUGCAUCACUGUAAAUUACAAACUCCUUCCCGGACUCAGGUUGCACCAACACUGGCGCCUCAGUCAAUAAUGCCUUCAACUUUUCAAAACUCUGUUGACAUUUAGUGGUCCAUUCAAACUUGACAUUCUUCUGCAGUAACUUAGUCAUAGGAGAAGCAAUCAUCGAAAAUCCCUUGACAAAGCGUCUGUAAUACCCAGCUAAGCCCAGAAAGCUUCUAACUUCUGUCACAUUCUUUGGUGGCUCCCAAUCAACAAUUGCUGAAAUUUUGCUUGGAUCAACCCGAAUACCUUCACUUGAAACUAUAUGUCCCAAGAAUCCAACCUCACGAAGCCAAAAAUCACUUUUGCUGAAUUUAGCAUACAAUUUCUUUUCUCUCAGAAUCUGCAACACAGUUCUUAAAUGUUCUGCAUGCUCAGAUUCAUCCCGAGAAUAGAUUAAAAUAUCAUCUAUGAACACCACCACGAACUUAUCCAAGUACGGCCGAAAAAUUCGGUUCAUCAAGUCCAUAAAAAUAGCUGGAGCAUUUGUUAACCCAAAAGGCAUUACCAGAAAUUCAUAGUGUCCAUACCUUGUUAUAAAGGCGGUUUUCGGCACAUCAGACUCUUUAACUCUUAACUGAUAGUAACCAGACCUCAAAUCAAUCUUAGAAAACACUGUUGCCCCUUUUAAUUGAUCAAAUAAAUCAUCAAUUCUCGGCAAAGGAUACUUGUUCUUUAUAGUCACCUUGUUGAGCUGACGAUAGUCAAUACAAAGUCUCAUAGAGCCGUCUUUUUUUUCACAAAUAACACAGGAGCACCCCAAGGAGAAAAACUCGGUCUCACAAAUCCUUUAUCUGUCAACUCUUGUAACUGAGCUUUUAAUUCCUUCAACUCAGUCGGAGCCAUUCGAUACGGUGCAAUAGAAAUCGGUGCAGUACCAGGUAACAGAUCAAUAGAAAACUCAACUUCUCUAAUCGGAGGUAACCCAGGCAAUUCCUCUGGAAAUACAUCUGGAAAUUCACAAACUACCGGCACUGAUUCAAGCUUUGACCCAGUAAUAUCCGUGUUCAGCACAUAAGCAAGAUAAACUUCACAUCCCUUUCUCAAGUAUUUCUGAGCAGACAUGUGCGAAAUCACCAUAGGCAACUUAUUCGGCUCCUUUGUUUCAACCCGGAGAAUUUCACCGUUUUCACAAUUUAAUUCAAGAAUUUUCUGUCUACAAUUUACCUUGGCAUCAUGCAAUAUCAACCAAUCCAUCCCCAAAAUAACAUCAAACUCAUCAAAUGGUAACAACAUCAAAUUAGCCGGGAAACAGUGACCUUGAAUCAUCAGGGGACAAUUCUUGCAAACCUUAUCGACUAAGACAUAUUUGCCUAAAGGAUUUGAUACUUUAACUACAAAUUCAGUGUUUUCAACAGGCAAUUUCUUACUAGACACCAAAUUCAUGCAUAUAUAUGAAUGAGUAGAGCCGGGAUCAAUCAAAGCAAUAACAUCAAUAUCAUGAAGAGAAAAUGUACCAGUAAUCACAUCGGGAGAUGAGGCAUCCUCUCGAGCGCGUAUAGCAUAAGUCCUGGCAGGCGCUCUAGUUUCUGAUCCUCCAGCUGCAUCUUUUAUCACACUCUUACCACUGGCUUUGCUUCCCACAUUUCUCGGUGGUCUGCCUCUACUGACAACAUCACCCGAUCCAGCUCUUUGUAAUCUUUCUUCUUCUAUUCUCUCAGGGCAGUCUUUUACAUAAUGCUCUUGGGAACCACAUCUGAAACAAGCUCGUUUAAAUCCCCAACACUCACCAGUAUGUCGCCUGCCACACUGUUGACAUUCAGGUCUGGUGUUUCCUACAUUACCCACACUUGCCACUGAGGUAGCUCGAGUUGUAGUUCCGGAAUAUGACCUCCCUCUGUCUCUGCGUGAAUACCCAACUGAACCGGUUGGUCGUGGAUCCAUCCCUUUAAACUUCUUCGGGUGAGAUUGAAAUGUUCUGCCCAUUGACCUCUUCCUUACAUCUCGAGCUUCCAUCUCUGCCCUUCUCUUUUCUCUACUCAGCUCUUCAGCUUUGCAAGCACGAUCAACUAGUACCACAAAUUCUUUUAACUCUAAAAUUCCAACAUGUAAUCUGAUGUCUUCAUUUAGCCCCUCUUCAAAUCUUUUACACAUAAUAGCCUCCGUAGGCACACAUUCCUGGGCAUAUUUACUAAGCCGGACAAACUCCCGUUCAUAUUCUGCUACUGACAUUCGGCCCUGUUUCAAUCCGAGAAACUCUUUGCGCUUCUGAUCAAUAAACCGUUGGCUUACAUAUUUCUUUCUGAAUUCUUCCUGAAAGAAGUCCCAAGUAACUCUUUCUUUUGGAACCACCGUUAUUAAUUUUUUCCACCAACGGUAUGCCGAAUCCUUCAAUAAAGACACAGCACAUUUCAAACAUUCCUCAGGAGUACAAGAUAAUUCAUCAAAUACCUGGAUAGUAUUUUCAAGCCAAAACUCAGCUUUUUCCGGAUCAUCAUCAACAUUGGCCCUGAAAUCUUCAGCCCCAUGCUUUCGAAUUCUAUCAACGGGUGGUUUACUUGAUCUCACCAAUUCAGCACUUCGUGGAGCUACGGGGACCGGCGGAGGAAUAGGAGGGGGUGGAGGAGGUGGAACAUUCGGAUUUACACGGACAUAUUCUGUAUACCAAUCACUCAUCAUUCGGAGGAAGGCUUCUCGAGCCUCAUCCUGUCCAUGUGUCUCAUGUCUACUCUCUUCAUGCGCGGUCCCUUGUGCGGGAACCGGCGUGUUACUUUCAACAUCAUCUGCCAUACUUCGAUUAGGAUCCAUUUACUAUAUAAAACAAAUUUUUAAAUUGUCAGAAAUCAUCACACUAUCACAAUAUAUUGAUGGCAUGUAUAGACUGACUUUCACACAUAUUUUAUUGGUCCGAGAACCGACUAAACCGUAGCUCUGAUACCACUAAAAUGUAACACCCCUUACUCGUAUUCCGGCUCGGAACAGAGUAUGAGGUAUUACUAAGUUUUUUAAAAAAAAUUUCGACAGCAUUUCUGCUUAAUUUUGCUUAAACCUCCUGCAAAUUUAAAUCACAAUCCAAUAUAUAUAUAUCAACCAAACUCAUUUAUAAUAAUACUCACAAUUUAACUAUUAAUGAACACCACAUUUUAAAUCAAACCAUAACAUAUAUUUACAUGAUGAUUCCAUAUUUCAUAGGUCGUCUUUACAUGCCAUAAUUUUCCGGAACGAUAGUAGCAAAAUACCCCAAGUGUGAAGGAUAGUGUGGAUGAUUGUCUGACUUCGUUCCAAAUUUCCGAGUUGUCGGAAGUCACUCGGUGCAAAAUAUCGUAAUUUUGCACUUCACUCCACUAUCUUUUCUUUUCCUCGUUUGAGAUAAUCUUCACGUCUUUCUUGAUUAUGAGCUUGAGAAAGCAAAGAAACCUUAGCUAUGGCUUCCUUCAAAUUUCGGCAGCAACUAAUGAGGAAGAUGAUGAUUUUUGUCAUCUUUUUC